UGCGACUUACCUGUAAAAGAAACCCUUAAGCAAAAUUAACGCAAUUUUGGGUAAACGGCAGGAGUAACUAUGACUGUCUUAUAAGGGCUAAAUGCCUCGUCAUCUAAUUAGUACUACGUAUGAUU
rnacentral:ncRNA from 1 species